rnacentral:rRNA from 1 species
CGUUCCUCCUUUUCUCAUCCUUGGGGAAUAUUGCACAAUGGGGGAAACCCUUAUGCAUCUACUCCUCUUUAUUGAAGAAUUAUUUCGGUAUGUAAAGCUCUAUCAGCAGGAACGAGACAAGACGGUACCUGACUAAGAAGCCCCGGCUAACUACGUGCCAGCAGCCGCGGUAAUACGUAGGGGGCAAGCGUUAUCCUGAAUCACUUUUUUUAAAUGUAUCUUAUACUUCUUAUCAAUCCUUAAUUUAAAUUCUUUUGCCCAACCCCCGGACUGCUUUGGGAACUGUACGGCUGGAUGGCAGGAGG